CCUCAGCUCAGGCAAGAUUACGCUCUGAACUUAAGCAUAUUACUAAGAGCAGGAAAAGAAAAUAACUAUGAUUCUCACAGUAACUGCGAGUGAAGUGAGAAGAGCCCAACGUUAAAAGCUGCUUCUGUAAAAGGUUGCCGCAUUGUAACGUAUAGAUACGUUCUCAAGAUAGAGGCCUACGCCAAAGUUACAUAGAGAGGUACGCCAUAGAGGGUGAUAGCCCCGUAUGUGGCGUAGGCAUUAACUUUAUCAAGUAGACGUAAUCUAAGAGUCGUGUUGUUUGGGAUUGCAACACUAAGUAGGUGGUAAACUUCACCUAAGGCUAAAUAUAGGCACGAGACCGAUAGCAAAUAAGUACCGUGAGGGAAAGUUGAAAAGUAUCCUGAAAAGGGAGUGAAAAGUACGUGAAACUGUUCAUGGGGAAGCAGACGGUAGAAUCGAAGCAUAUUGUUGAUUGCAUUUUUAAGUAUGUGUUCUGCAUGUGCAUAGAGGCGUCCCUCAACAAUAGUGCGCGCUGAGCUUGUCGUAUUUUGUGUUUAACACAGUACAUGCACGCCGGAGCCAGUAGUUUAAGAGAAUAGAGGUAGAAUUAUUUACAUUGAAACUUUUAAAUGCUUGGCUAUCCGCUAUAGGUGCAUAAUAUGACAUGGGCCAAUAUGAUAGGCGACCUAUGGACGUAUUGAUGAGCAAGUAUACAGUGGGACGUUGUUAAACUACCGCUGUGCUAGUUUAUUAAUUACUAAGUAGGUCUACUCUCAGCGAGAUAUGCUGCUGUCUGACCCGUCUUGAAACACGGACCAAGGAGGCUAACGUAUACGCGAGUCAAGGGGAGACAUGAAUGUGUCGUAUUUUAAACCCUAUGGCGUAACGAAAGUAAAAAGCGAGAUCUCCAAGUGAGAUAUUAACGGUGGAGAGCAUCGCUGGCCAGUUGAGUUCAUUGGAACUAUAAUUGAGCAGGAGCGUAUGCGGUAGGACCCGAAAGAUGGUGAACUAUGCCUGAGUAGAGCGAAGUCAGAGGAAACUCUGAUGGAGGCUCGUAGCGGUUCUGACGUGCAAUUCGAUCGUCAAACUUGGGUAUAGGGGCGAAAGACUAAUCGAACCAUCUAGUAGCUGGUUCCCUCCGAAAUAUCCCUCAGGAUAGCUGAAGCCUGAGCCAAAAGCAGUUUCAUCGGGUAGAGCGAAUGAUUAGAGGAAUUAGGGUCUUAACAGGCCUUAACCUAUUCUCAAACUGCGAACCGGUGAGAAAAGUGGUGUUGCUUAUAAGUGUAUUCCUCGGAAUGCAUGUUGAACGCCAACUAUUGAGAAUGCUAGGGCUUCAAGUGGGCCGUUUCUGGUAAGCAGAACUGGCGAUGCGGGAUGAACCGAGAGCUAGGUUAAGGUGCCUAAGUGAACGCCAAAGGACACCACUAAAGGAGUUGGUCGAUGAAGACAGCAGGACG
rnacentral:rRNA from 1 species